GGUACGGGCAGUGAGAGCUGUAGCCCGGAGAUGGGGACUGAGACAAGGCCCCAGGCCCUACGGGGCGCAGCAGGCGCGAAACCUUCACAAUGCUCGAAAGAGUGAUGAGGGUACUCCGAGUGCCUAUGCUUUGCAUAGGCUUUUCUCCAGCGUAAAUAGUUGGAGGAAUAAGGGCUGGGCAAGACCGGUGCCAGCCGCCGCGGUAACACCGGCAGCCCAAGUGGUGACCGUUUUUAUUGGGCCUAAAGCGUUCGUAGCCGGACGGGCAAGUCUUUGGGUAAAUCCUACGUCCCAAGCGUGGGAAUUCUAAAGAUACUACCUGUCUUGAGGCCGGAAGAGGCUGGAGGUACUUCUGGGGUAGGGGUAAAAUCCUAUAAUCCCAGGGGGACCACCGAUGGCGAAGGCAUCCAGCUGGGACGGGCCUGACGGUGAGGAACGAAACCCAGGGGAGCGAGCCGGAUUAGAUACCCGGGUAGUCCUGGGCGUAAAUGAUGUGGGCUUGGUGUGAGUGCAUCGACGUGGUGCCCUUGUGCCGUAGGGAAGCCGUUAAGCCCACCGCCUGGG
rnacentral:rRNA from 1 species